UACGUUGAAGCACUGGUUCUUGUAUGAUCACCAAAGUUAAGCAACGUUGAACCUGGUUAGUACUUAGAUGGGUGACUGGUUGGGAAUACCAGGUGCUGUAAG